rnacentral:rRNA from 1 species
CGAAUGCUGACAUAAGUAACGAUAAAGCGGGUGAAAAGCCCGCUCGCCGGAAGACCAAGGGUUCCUGUCCAACGUUAAUCGGGGCAGGGUGAGUCGACCCCUAAGGCGAGGCCGAAAGGCGUAGUCGAUGGGAAACAGGUUAAUAUUCCUGUACUUGGUGUUACUGCGAAGGGGGGACGGAGAAGGCUAUGUUGGCCGGGCGACGGUUGUCCCGGUUUAAGCGUGUAGGCUGGUUUUCCAGGCAAAUCCGGAAAAUCAAGGCUGAGGCGUGAUGACGAGGCACUACGGUGCUGAAGCAACAAAUGCCCUGCUUCCAGGAAAAGCCUCUAAGCAUCAGGUAACAUCAAAUCGUACCCCAAACCGACACAGGUGGUCAGGUAGAGAAUACCAAGGCGCUUGAGAGAACUCGGGUGAAGGAACUAGGCAAAAUGGUGCCGUAACUUCGGGAGAAGGCACGCUGAUAUGUAGGUGAAGUCCCUCGCGGAUGGAGCUGAAAUCAGUCGAAGAUACCAGCUGGCUGCAACUGUUUAUUAAAAACACAGCACUGUGCAAACACGAAAGUGGACGUAUACGGUGUGACGCCUGCCCGGUGCCGGAAGGUUAAUUGAUGGGGUCAGCGCAAGCGAAGCUCUUGAUCGAAGCCCCGGUAAACGGCGGCCGUAACUAUAACGGUCCUAAGGUAGCGAAAUUCCUUGUCGGGUAAGUUCCGACCUGCACGAAUGGCGUAAUGAUGGCCAGGCUGUCUCCACCCGAGACUCAGUGAAAUUGAACUCGCUGUGAAGAUGCAGUGUACCCGCGGCAAGACGGAAAGACCCCGUGAACCUUUACUAUAGCUUGACACUGAACAUUGAGCCUUGAUGUGUAGGAUAGGUGGGAGGCUUGGAAGUGUGGACGCCAGUCUGCAUGGAGCCGACCUUGAAAUACCACCCUUUAAUGUUUGAUGUUCUAACGUUGACCCGUAAUCCGGGUUGCGGACAGUGUCUGGUGGGUAGUUUGACUGGGGCGGUCUCCUCCUAAAGAGUAACGGAGGAGCACGAAGGUUGGCUAAUCCUGGUCGGACAUCAGGAGGUUAGUGCAAUGGCAUAAGCCAGCUUGACUGCGAGCGUGACGGCGCGAGCAGGUGCGAAAGCAGGUCAUAGUGAUCCGGUGGUUCUGAAUGGAAGGGCCAUCGCUCAACGGAUAAAAGGUACUCCGGGGAUAACAGGCUGAUACCGCCCAAGAGUUCAUAUCGACGGCGGUGUUUGGCACCUCGAUGUCGGCUCAUCACAUCCUGGGGCUGAAGUAGGUCCCAAGGGUAUGGCUGUUCGCCAUUUAAAGUGGUACGCGAGCUGGGUUUAGAACGUCGUGAGACAGUUCGGUCCCUAUCUGCCGUGGGCGCUGGAGAACUGAGGGGGGCUGCUCCUAGUACGAGAGGACCGGAGUGGACGCAUCACUGGUGUUCGGGUUGUCAUGCCAAUGGCACUGCCCGGUAGCUAAAUGCGGAAGAGAUAAGUGCUGAAAGCAUCUAAGCACGAAACUUGCCCCGAGAUGAGUUCUCCCUGACUCCUUGAGAGUCCUGAAGGAACGUUGAAG